GUAGAGAAGUAUUCGAAUCCAUCCGAAUCCGUAGACCUUAAUUCACGAGAAAAUUUGUACCAAAUGUUGCCGGACAACCUGAAAAAAACAGUGAGAUCAAAACUGAGCAAGAAUUUGAAAUGUAUGGAUGAGGACGAAUCGUUGGCCGAGGGGUGGAGGGACGCUUUGAAACAUAUAAUGGAAUGGCUAGCGCCAAUGGCUCAUACCACAAUAAAUUGGCAGCUUGAAAGGAAUUUGGAGAAGACUAAAUUUGAUAUUAAGCCUUCUGUUUUGUUGCUGCAGACGUUGCAUUAUUCGGAUAAAGAGAAGACAGAAGCUGCCAUUGCUGAUAUUUUGGUUGGGUUGAGUUGUAUUUACAAGUGUGAGAAUCGCCAAUGGAGUGAAUCUUGAUUUUGUGGGUUUUUUGAGAAUUGGUGAAUUUUUCAAUCAUAUAGUUAGUCAUGGCAAAUAUUAGCUAGGAUUCAUUGGGUUGUGGAAGAGAAAUUGGAGUACUUACUUUAUACGAAUACUUUUUCCAAUGUUCCUAAUUCUUUUAGCAGGAUACCUGCAAUAGUUUCAUGCUGAGUGUGUGUAAAUGACCUCUUCUUUUCCCAAGAUUUUGAUUCAUGAGAAAUUCUCUCUUUUUCUUAUGUGAAUCAGAAUCGCCGAUGGAGUGAAUCUUGAUUUUGUGGGUUUUUUGAGAACUGGUGAAUUUUUCAAUCAUAUAGAUAGUCAUGGCAAAUAUUAACUAGGAUUCAUGGGUUGUGGAAGAGAAAUUGGAGUACUUAUUUUAUACAAAUAUUUUUUUUUCUUGAUUUACUUUUCCAAUGUUCCUAAUUCUUUUAUCAGGAUACCUGCAAUAGUUUCCUGCUGAGUGUGUAUGAAGGAUCACUUCAUUUUCCAAGAUCUUUGAUUCAUGAUAAAUUCACACUUUUUCAUGUGUAAAUACAAAUAUGAAUAAACUCAUGUGAAAGAACCAAGACUCCAAGCUGUAUUGCAUAGUACUCCCUCUAUUUCAACUUAAAUGACACACUUUCUUUAUUAGUU
rnacentral:lncRNA from 1 species